UAGGGGACCACAAGAAGAUCAAGCUGUCCCUCUCUAACGUAUGUGUGGAAGGCCUAGUUCAGUUCCAUGAAGGCUCCCCGGUUGGCAGUUCAGUCUCUAGAAUUCCUUUUAAUUUUUGUUCCAAAGGCAGUGUACAUGAUGGCAGGAGAAGCACAGCAGCAGGAACCAGAAACUAAGAGGUCACAUUUCUAUUGUGUGCAGGAAGCAGAGAAGGAAUUUCUACCAACUAGAUGACAUCAUGAAGGUAACAGUAAGGAUGGUAGUGAAAUCACUCCUGAUGAGAGGAGUUUGAAGUCCAUUAGCAAAUGGAAGAGCAAAGAAGUGAAUACCACCAAGAGAACAUUUUACAUCACAGUUGCAAAGAACAGAUCUAUUCUCUUCAUUAAAUCACCUGGUGGUGUUCGUGAAGUUCCAGCUCAGCUGCCCUCUGACCCAAGAGAAGCAAUGAAAAUCCUAAAUUUCACUCCUCUGGCAAGAUCCGCUAGGAGGUGAUUUAUUGAAGAGCAUGUUAUGUGUGUUGAGUGAAGAUCUUCUACAACUAUUUAGGAACAAAAACAAGCCCAAGUUUUUAAAAAGUCAAGCAAAAAUGAAAUUGAUAGAGUAUAAUCCAUGAGUACAUAGGGAAGAGAUGCUUGUCCACACUCCAUCUUCUUCCAAGAGCCUCAGAAUAUCUUCCUAAUAGUAGAAAGUAAGACAGAACUGCUAAGCUUGAGAAUACACCAGAGCCACGAGAAGAUAAGAGUAAAUGAUAAACAUGAGCUGAGACAUUUUUAUUUCAUCAAAAAUCUCUGAAAGUUCACUUUUCUGCUUUAUUCUGUCUUGUAAAAGUUAAAGAAGAAAUAUUUUGUUUGCUUUAUAAUAUC
ensembl:lincRNA uncharacterized LOC110325040